rnacentral:lncRNA from 1 species
UCUAGUGUCAUCUACCGUCAUCUAGUGUGAUUUACAGUCAUCUACUGUCAUCUACUGUCAUCUACCGUCAUCUAGUGUCAUCUAUCGUCAUCUACCGUCAUCUAGUGUCAUUUACCGUCAUCUAGUGUCAUCUAGUGUCAUCCAGUGUCAUCUACUGUCAUCUAGUGUCAUCCAGUGUCAUCUACCGUCAUCUAGUGUCAUCUACUGUCAUCUACUGUCAUCUACCGUCAUCUAGUGUCAUCUACUGUCAUCUACCGUCAUCUAGUGUCAUCUAGUGUCAUCUACCGUCAUCUAGUGUCAUAUACCGUCAUCUACCGUCAUCUAGUGUCAUCUAGUGUAAUCCACCGUCAUCUAGUGUCAUCUAGUGUCAUCUACCGUCAUCUAGUGUCAUCUAGUGUCAUCUACCGUCAUCUACUGUCAUCUACUGUCAUCUACUGUCAUCUACCGUCAUCUAGUGUCAUCUACUGUCAUCUACUGUCAUCUACCGUCAUCUACCGUCAUCUAGUGUCAUCUACUGUCAUCUACUGUCAUCUACCGCCAUCUAGUGUCAUCUAGUGUCAUCUACCGUCAUCUAGUGUCAUCUAGUGUCAUCUACCGUCAUCUACUGUCAUCUACUGUCAUCUACCGUCAUCUACCGUCAUGUUGUGUCAUCUAGUGUCAUCUACCGUCAUCUAGUGUCAUAUACCGUCAUCUACCGUCAUCUAGUGUCAUCUACCGUCAUCUAGUGUAAUCCACCGUCAUCUAGUGUCAUCUACCGUCAUCUAGUGUCAUCUAGUGUCAUCUAACGUCAUCUAGUGUCAUCUACUGUCAUCUACUGUCAUCUACCGUCAUCUAGUGUCAUCUACUGUCAUCUACUGUCAUCUACCGUCAUCUACUGUCAUCUACCGUCAUCUACCGUCAUCUAGUGUCAUCUACUGUCAUCUACCGUCAUCUAGUGUCAUUUAGUGUCAUCUACCGUUAUCUACCGUCAUCUAGUGUCAUCUACUGUAAUCCACCGUCAUCUAGUGUCAUCUAGUGUCAUCUACCG